UCAACCGGGGAAAAGCUUUGGAUACUGCUCUACUAGAGACAGCUAGGGGACACUGGAACUUACGGUGAAGCAGUGAAAUGCGUUGAUAUCGUAGGGAACACCAAGGGGGAAGCCAAGUGUCUGGGGCUGUUCUGACGCUGAGAGACGAAAGCGUGGGUAGCGAAACGGAUUAGAUACCCGUGUAGUCCACGCUGUAAACUAUGCCUGCUAGAUACCUGUUUAUAUGGGUGUCGAAGCUAACGCGUUAAGCAGGCCGCCUGGGAAGUACGGUCGCAAGGCUAAAACUCAAAGGAAUUGGCGGGGACCCGCACAAGCGGUGGAGCAUGCUCUUUAAUUGGCUGAUAACCCAAGAACCUUACCCAGGUUUGACAUGUAGAUGCAAAUCCGGUGAAAGCCGGACUCCUUCGAGGGUUCUACACAGGUGUUGCAUGGCUGUCGUCAGCUCGUACCGUGAGGCGUACCCUUAAGUGGGUUAACGAGCGCAACCCUUACUGUUAGUUGUAUCACUCUAACGGAACUGCCGUCGCAAGGCGGAGGAAGGUGGGGACGACGUCAAGUCGGUAUUGCCUUUAUGCCUGGGGCUAGAAGCAUGCUACAAUGGCGCGUACAACGAGUUGCAACACGGUGACGUGAAGCUAAUCUCUUAAAGCGCGCCUCAGUUCGGAUUGGAGUCUGCAAUUCGACUCCAUGAAGUUGGAAUCGCUAGUAAUCGCAGGUCAGCUAUACUGCGGUGAAUACGUUCUCGGGUCUUGCACACACUGCCCGUCACGCCAGCAAAGCUGGGGCCACCUUAAGUCUCUUAUUUUAAGGGCCCAAGGUGGAAUCAGUGAUGAGGGUGAAGUCGUAACAAGGUAGCCGUAGGGGAAUCUGCGGCUGGAUCACCUCCUU
rnacentral:rRNA from 1 species